rnacentral:tRNA from 2 species
GCCGGGGUAGCCUAGCUGGUAAGGCGCAGGCCUGGAGAGCCUGUGGCCCUUUCGGGCCUCGUGGGUUCGAAUCCCACCCCCGGCGCCA